CUGAAGAUCUCACACCGACAUCAGAACAGACUGACUGCUCAGUAAACAGUAAAGUCAUUCAGAAUACAAGUCAUGUUUAUGUUAUUUUCCUUUUGUCUUUUCUCGAAACAAACACCAGAUAUGACUCAAUAGGAAUGGAGGAGAAUAUGCAGCUCAGCAGCUGAUGUCACUUUUGACCCUGAGACUGCAUAUCCAUGUCUCAUUGUGUCUGAAGACGGGAAAGAAGUGAGACACACAGACAC